rnacentral:tRNA from 1 species
GCGUCUGUAGCUCAGCUGGAUAGAGCGUCGGCCUCCGAAGCCGAAGGGCGCAGGUUCGACUCCUGUCAGGCGCA